AUUGAACGCUGGCGGCAGGCCUAACACAUGCAAGUCGAACGGUAACAGGAAGAAGCUUGCUUCUUUGCUGACGAGUGGCGGACGGGUGAGUAAUGUCUGGGAAACUGCCUGAUGGAGGGGGAUAACUACUGGAAACGGUAGCUAAUACCGCAUAACGUCGCAAGACCAAAAAGGGGGACCUUCGGGCCUCUUGCCAUCGGCUGUGCCCAGAUGGGAUUAGCUAGUAGGUGGGGUAACGGCUCGCCUAGGCGACGAUCCCUAGCUGGUCUGAGAGGAUGACCAGCCACACUGGAACUGAGACACGGUCCAGACUCCUACGGGAGGCAGCAGUGGGGAAUAUUGCACAAUGGGCGAAAGCCUGAUGCAGCCAUGCCGCGUGUAUGAAGAAGGCCUUCGGGUUGUAAAGUACUUUCAGCGGGGAGGAAGGGAGUAAAGUUAAUACCUGUGCUCAUUGACGUUACCCGCAGAAGAAGCACCGGCUAACUCCGU
rnacentral:rRNA from 1 species